AUUGAACGCUGGCGGCAUGCCUUACACAUGCAAGUCGAACGGCAGCAUGGAAGAGCUUGCUCUUCUGAUGGCGAGUGGCGAACGGGUGAGUAAAGCAUCGGAACGUACCGUGUAGUGGGGGAUAACGUAGCGAAAGUUACGCUAAUACCGCAUACGCACUGAGGUGGAAAGCAGGGGAUCGCAAGACCUUGCGCUAUACGAGCGGCCGAUGUCAGAUUAGCUAGUUGGUAGGGUAAAGGCCUACCAAGGCGACGAUCUGUAGCGGGUCUGAGAGGAUGAUCCGCCACACUGGGACUGAGACACGGCCCAGACUCCUACGGGAGGCAGCAGUGGGGAAUCUUGCGCAAUGGGCGAAAGCCUGACGCAGCAACGCCGCGUGCGGGAUGAAGGCCUUCGGGCUGUAAACCGCUUUCAGCAGGAACGAAAAUGACGGUACCUGCAGAAGAAGGAGCGGCCAACUACGUGCCAGCAGCCG
rnacentral:rRNA from 1 species